ACAUGCAAGUCGAGCGAUGAAGCUCUUCGGAAGUGGAUAGCGGCGGACGGGUGAGUAACACGUGGGUAACCUGCCUCAUAGAGGGGGAAUAGACCUUUCGAAAGGAAGAUUAAUACCGCAUAAGAUUGUAAUGUCGCAUGACAUGGCAAUUAAAGGAGUAAUCCGCUAUGAGAUGGACCCCGCGUCGCAUUAGCUAGUUGGUGAGGUAAACGGCUCACCAAGGCGACGAUGCGUAGCCGACCUGAGAGGGUGAUCGGCCACAUUGGGACUGAGACACGGCCCAGACUCCUACGGGAGGCAGCAGUGGGGAAUAUUGCACAAUGGGGGAAACCCUGAUGCAAGCAACGCCGCGUGAGUGAUGACGGUCUUCGGAUUGUAAAGCUCUGUCUUUAGGGACGAUAAUGACGGUACCUAAGGAGGAAGCCACGGCUAACUACGUGCCAGCAGCCGC
rnacentral:rRNA from 1 species